UACGUAGGGGGCAAGCGUUGUCCGGAUUCAUUGGGCGUAAAGAGCGUGUAGGCGGCCAGGUAGGUCGGUUGUGAAAACUGGAGGCUCAACCUUCAGACGUCGACCGAAACCAUCUGGCUAGAGUCCGGGAGAGGAGAGUGGAAUUCCUGGUGUAGCGGUGAAAUGCGCAGAUAUCAGGAAGAACACCCGUGGCGAAAGCGGCUCUCUGGAACGGUACUGACGCUGAGGAGCGAAAGCGUGGGGAGCGAACAGG
rnacentral:rRNA from 1 species